GACCCAUUUCUCCCCCAAACAGAACUGAAUCCAGAGGCUUCCUGGGAGGUGAUAAUAUUGUUAGUGGGACCACUAUUUUUCUGUGGCUCAGGACACAAGAGUUAAUUACAAGUUUCCAUUAUGGUCUUCCUUAUGUUCCUGCCAGAGAGCGAACAGAUCUUUUUCCAUUAGCAAUUUCCCCUGAAAUUCCCCUGUUUUCCUGAUUCUGUUGAUAAGACAGAAUCACACAAUUCCAUCUGGUCCUACAUCUGCUUGUCCCCAUCUGUGUGUCCCUGAAGUGGGAAUAGUCUUGCUCUCUGCAGAGCUUUCUACGGCUGGCCCUGUAGAUGUGGCACAGGAGACCUCACCUUGGGUUGGCCUGCUUGGGAUUUGCUGAGGAACUUGUGCUGCCCACCUACAGAAAUGUGAAUUUGUUCAUUUCUCAUUGCCUCCUACGCUUGAGGACUCUUUGCUCUGUGCAUGGCAAGUACAAGAAAUAUGUGGACAAGAAUAUGAAUUUAUGAUUAAUGCAAGUGCUUGAAAAACAUGAUGCCUCAGUUGCAGAAAUGAGACUGGCCUCUGUGACCCUGGGCCUCUGCUUCAGGUAAUUCAUUAGUUUGGAAGCUAAGUCAAACUGGUUUAAAUAAUAGAAAGAAUUUGCUGGGGCACAUGCUGAAAGAUCAGAUAAUUA
rnacentral:lncRNA from 1 species